rnacentral:sRNA from 1 species
CCUGAUCGAUCAGGCAGGUUUCGCAGCCUGUCUGGCCCGACAAAAAAAAACGCCCCGACGGGGCGUUUUUU